rnacentral:rRNA from 1 species
UACGAAGGGUGCAAGCGUUACUCGGAAUUACUGGGCGUAAAGCGUGCGUAGGUGGUUUGUUAAGUCAGAUGUGAAAGCCCCGGGCUUAACCUGGGAAUUGCAUUUGAUACUGGCAGUCUAGAGUGCGGUAGAGGAGAGUGGAAUUCCCGGUGUAGCAGUGAAAUGCAUAGAGAUCGGGAGGAACAUCAGUUGCGAAGGCGGCUCUCUGGACCAGCACUGACACUGAGGCACGAAAGCGUGGGGAGCAAACAGG